AGUUUACAGUCAUAAUUCUAGCUGAGCAUAGCGGACAGAAUGUUAAUACUUUGGAGUCCACCAAGGCCAUUUCUGCAUCUGCCCCAGAACAACACAAAUGCACAGGAUUUUUGUUCCAACAUGAUUCAUUUAGCUACAGUCAAGACCUUUGGCUGGUCAGGCAUUGUAUCUGUUACUUCUUAUGUUUUAUGUGCACAGUAUUCUAUAGUUUUAUCAUGAAUUGAAAGGUUAAGUUUCAAGUUCCUUCC
rnacentral:lncRNA from 1 species